rnacentral:misc_RNA from 1 species
GAAAUGCGAUACUUGGUGUGAAUUGCAGAAUCCCGUGAACCAUCGAGUCGCGCAGGACGUAGCCUUUACGGCCUUGUAGGACCCUGAGUGUCCCCUUUAGGAGACAAACCGUUGCGACCCCAGGUCAGGCGGGGCUACCCGCUGAGUUUAA